rnacentral:rRNA from 1 species
UACGUAGGGGGGCUAGCGUUGUCCGGAUUUAUUGGGCGUAAAGAGCGUGUAGGCGGCCAGGUAGGUCUGCUGUGAAAACUCGAGGCUCAACCUCGAGACGUCGGCGGAAACCAUCUGGCUAGAGUCCGGAAGAGGAAAGUGGAAUUCCCGGUGUAGCGGUGAAAUGCGCAGAUAUCGGGAAGAACACCCGUGGCGAAGGCGGCUUUCUGGGACGGUACUGACGCUGAGACGCGAAAGCGUGGGGAGCGAACAGG